ensembl:lncRNA
UGGAAAUGCCUGCUUACCUGAGGCCUUCUGAAGGAAUGGUUUUCCAGAGGUGCUGUAGACAGAUCAGGCCUGGCUUUGCAUCUUCCACCUACUUGGUCCAGCACUAAUUUCAGUUCGCCUGUGUACCAUGCUCCUUCCCACAGCACAAAUAUUCUACUGAAGGAAGGUGGGAUGUGUUGGAAUCACCUUUACCACCUCCAAACAUUAAGCUAGAAAAGCUUAAUGACCUUCUGCUGUUACCCAUACUUGGGUGAUUGACCCACUUCAGGCAUAGUGCUUUCAAGAAGAUCUUCCUGAGUUAACAUAUACACGCUUCCCAAACUGCAAUUUUUACAUAUGCGUUGCUAGUAAAUGAAACUGAUUUCACAGAAAGAAGUUCAGUCUGAGUGAUAGACAUUUCCUUUGCCAUGGGUAAAAUCUGAGUGAAAUUGAGCUAUCCAUGUCAUGUGCAUGCUGAAAUGUUGCUGUGUUUCCAGUAACUGCAUAUAAGUCAAAGAGGGAAAAAGCUUCCUGGAAGGAAAUUCUGUAGCACUUUUUACACUAUGGGGUCAAUAUUCACAAUACUUCCUCCCAUGGCAUUGCAGGAAUGUGAGCUCAGAAGGGCUGAGGGAAAUAUAGACUGUUCCAGAGACUGUCACAGCCACAGGGAAUCUUUCUAUUGACUUCAGAAGAGCUCUGAUUUGAGCCCGCAUUAUAAAUACAAACUAUCUGACCUGAUUGAAAAAGCAGGAAGAAUGGGAACAUAGUGAACUGAGACACAGGGAUGUGGGAUUUUGAUGCUUUGGCAGAUGGUGGAAGGGCAUUCCAUGUCUGCAAAUCCUCAUGUCAGGACUCUGUGUUGCAAACACAGCGAUAUCCUGCUUUGAACAAGGGAUGUGAGCUUUAUAUCUGGCUACAUGCACAGCUCCAGUUAGCAUAAUGAGAACUUAGCAUGUAUUGAAUCAUAGACAGAAUAGACUUCACCGGAAAAAAAAUUUGUCCCCAUGGAAAAGUAACUUAACAAUUAGACUAAAGAAGGAGAUUGUCCUAGAAUUGAUAUAAUUGAUCUUUAUUUAUUAUAUUGUUAAAUAAAAAUAGCUAUGUUUUUCAUCUUCUCUGUACAGAUACGAGACUGAAAAACGUAAGCGUCUCGAAUCUGUAUGUCUGAAUUCAAAUGAAAUUUUACUUGAGUAAAGCAACGUAGAAGUGAGUUGAAUGCUUUAGUUACUUUGAUGUAUAAGGUUAUUAUAGAAUACAUCUCAUCUGAAAUAAUUAGAAAUAAUAAUAUUAGAUUUGCUAUCUAGCUAUAGUACAAUACAUCUUCCUAUGGUUUUUGAUUUGCAUGUAAUAUUUAUAAUGUCAUUUAUUAGAUUGUUUCUGUAUAAAUCUACCCAGGCAAUGUGUUACUACUUAAACUUUGAAUGUGUGUCUUGGAGGAUAUAGAAAUAACAAAAUAAAGCAUGCUUGAACAU